AUGCUGGGCCAGAGGUCAGAGGCUCCCGGCACCUCACUGCUGCCCGGGGUUUCGGCCGCAGUACAACAGCCCGAGGCGCGGGGCUGGCCCGGGAGGACAAGGAUCCUCUGUUCAGUGCCACAGCUCCCACGAGCCCAGGGAAGAGGAAGAGCAAAGCUGCCUUUUCUCCAGGAAAAAAAAAAAAAAUCUUCCCCCAGCUUCCGCUGUGGUUUAGGAGAGUUCAAGGGCACCAGGCACCCACUCACAGCAGACCCUGCUACCUGCUCUGCCCUGGCAGCUGGAGCAGGAGGUCGGGCCUGCUGCCGGCCGGGACUGAGCAGUCCCGCAGUGCUUGGGCACGAGGGGAGCACCGCAGCUCGCAGUGCUGCGGGGCACGGUGCCAACACACCGGCACACUCAGCCGUCAACCGGGCAGCAGCACAGUGCCAAGCCCUGAAGACCCCUGCCCCUCGCGGCACCCCCAACCACGGGGUCGCGCCUCGUUCCUUACCUGUGCGCUCACCGCCACUGCCACCGCAUCCUGCGCCGAGUCUGCAGCGUCACCGGAGGGCGAGGACGGGCACGGCGGCACUCCAGACAGCCGGCAUGCCAGGCGAGACGAGCCCGCACACCUGCCGGGGCGGGGUGCGACGAUCGACGCCGGGGACGUCCGGGACGCGGCUGGGAUCAGCCCCGGGGCAGCGGGCACCGGGCACGGGCUGCGGCCUCACACCCGGGCGGACCUCCUGCGGCUCAGGCGGUGUGCCGGGGUCCGGGCGCCGGGGUUGCCGCCGGGGUGCUCCUGCUCCCCCGGGUACAGCUCGCCCUCCUCCUGCACUCCGCCCCGGGCCUCUCCCUCCUCCUGCCGGCCCCGCCGCACCCACCAGCGGGCGCGGGCCGGGGGGCUCGCCGUGUCCCGCCGCCCCCCGCCGCGCUCCUGCUGCGCCCGCCGGGCCAGGCCCUGCUCCUGCCGGACCUUGGGGCCGUGCUCCUGCACGCCCCGCACCGCGCCCCGCGCCCGCCGCGCCCCGGGGCUGCCGCCCGCCGCCGCCUCCUCCGCGCCCCGCGCCCGCCGCCGCGCCCGCGCCGCCCCCCGCUCCCGGGGCCGCCGCGGCUCCGCGCCCGGCUUGGGGCUGCCGAGGGCGGUGA
rnacentral:lncRNA from 1 species